rnacentral:rRNA from 1 species
GACGAACGCUGGCGGCGUGCUUAACACAUGCAAGUCGAACGGAAAGGCCCUGCUUUUGUGGGGUGCUCGAGUGGCGAACGGGUGAGUAACACGUGAGUAACCUGCCCUUCACUUUGGGAUAACUUCAGGAAACUAGGGCUAAUACCGGAUAGGAGCCCCUCCUGCAUGGUGGGGGUUGGAAAUUUUCGGCGGGUGGGGAUGGACUCGCGGCUUAUCAGCUUGUUGGUGGGGUAGUGGCUUACCAAGGCUUUGACGGGUAGCCGGCCUGAGAGGGUGACCGGCCACAUUGGGACUGAGAUACGGCCCAGAGUCCUACGUGAGGCAGCAGUGGGGAAUAUUGCACAAUGGGCGGAAGCCUGAUGCAGCAACGCCGCGUGCGGGAUGACGGCCUUCGGGUUGUAAACCGCUUCCGCCUGUGACGACGCGUGAGUGACGGUAAUGGGUAAAGAAGCACCGGCUAACUACGUG